UGGAUCACCUCCUAACAGGGAGACAACAAAAUGUUUAAUAUUAUUAUUUUGUCACCUUAGGUCGAUCGGUAUCUCACAUUUUUAAUUUAUUAAGAAUUUCAUUUCCUAAGUUUUUCUAGGUCACACCCAUUAUUUUUCCUGGGCCAUUAGCUCAGGUGGUUAGAGCGCACCCCUGAUAAGGGUGAGGUCCCUGGUUCAAGUCCAGGAUGGCCCAUAUCUCUAUGUUGGGGGUAUAGCUCAGUUGGUAGAGCGCCUGCUUUGCAAGCAGGAUGUCAGCGGUUCGAGUCCGCUUACCUCCACUGAUUACCACCUCUUCCAUAAUUGGUAGAAAGGAAAUGUUUUGAGUUGUGAUCUAAUUCUGAACGAAUCUAGCUUCCUAAUGUAAUUAUUAAGAUGCUGGACUCAUUGAAUUAAUUUCAUUGUUUUCAGAGAACCUUGACAACUGCAUAGAUUAUUUUUAAAGACAAUAAGCAUCUUUUUAUGAUGCAGAUUUAUUAUUUGUGCGAAUGCAUUAAUAACAAUUCUAUUAAGCUGAUGCUUCAAUUUUGAAGUUAUUGGUCAAGCUACAAAGGGCUCACGGAGGAUACCUAGGCACACAGAGGCGAUGAAGG
rnacentral:tRNA from 1 species